UGUAGCUCAGUUGGUGUAGUGCCUGCCUAGCACACAGGAGGCCCUGGGUUUGAUCCCCAGCA
rnacentral:tRNA from 1 species